GAUCAGCCUCAGAAUAUAAUGUAUUUUUUGCCAGUCUCUGUAAUGGAAACUAGUACAUUUAUGUACACAAUGACUAUACUAGGGAAACAGAAGUUUCUUAAUUUGAUAAGGAUUGGUCAUACGAAACAGAAGCCCAAAAUGCAUCUGUUGAGCAGGAAUACAGAUCUCAUGGAAAUGGUCGAAUAUGAAGAGACUCUACUUUGGCUUGCUGCCCCUUAAAUAGAAGGAAGGCAAGGGCAAGUAUGUGGACCAGAUGAAGUGGAUGCAUCUUGAAGAACCCUAGAGUACACUGUCGCAAGCAAGGUGCUAUUUUAGUGAUAACAAAAUAUUCUCCUGGGAUAUUGUAAUUAGAGGUCAAAAGUAGUUGAUGUCUGUCUGUAACUCUGAUAUUUAAUAUUUUUCAUUUACAUGAAAAUGAUAUGUUAUGAUCGUGUUAUUUCUAUAAACCUAUCAAAAUUGGGAUGGUUCUAUUGAUUAUGUUUUAUUGAUAUGAACAUGUUAGCAUGUCAUUUAACUUUAUUUUAAUUCAACUUCUUUU